rnacentral:rRNA from 1 species
UACGUAGGGGCGAGCGUUAUCCGGAAUUACUGGGCGUAAAGAGUGCGUAGGCGGCUGUUUAAGCGUGUGGUGAAAGGCAUUGGCUCAACCAAUGUAAGCCGCGCGAACUGGGCAGCUUGAGUGCAGGAGAGGAAAGCGGAAUUCCUAGUGUAGCGGUGAAAUGCGUAGAUAUUAGGAGGAACACCAGCGGCGAAGGCGGCUUUCUGGACUGUAACUGACGCUGAGGCACGAAAGCGUGGGGAGCGAACAGGAUUAGAUACCCU